rnacentral:ncRNA from 2 species
AAUGCUCACACGGGGUGCCGCGUAUCCGACGCAGGCUGAGAGGCAAGAGGCCGACCCGUCGAACCUGAUCCGGAUCAUGCCGGCGGAGGGAAUGAGGGCGCCGGCUUCG